rnacentral:tRNA from 1 species
GGGGAAUUAGCUCAGCUGGGAGAGCGCUUGAAUGGCAUUCAAGAGGUCAGGGGUUCGAUCCCCCUAUUCUCCA